rnacentral:rRNA from 1 species
GUGCACCAGUCGCGAAAACUCCGCAAUGCGCGAAAGCGUGACGGGGGAACCCCAAGUGCCGUUGGACUUUUGUUCGACGGCUUUUAUGGAGUCUAUGAAGCUCCAGGAAUAAGGGCUGGGUAAGUCGGGUGCCAGCCGCCGCGGUAAUACCCGCAGCCCAAGUGGUGGUCGCGAUUAUUGGGCCUAAAGCGCUCGUAGCCGGGUUGGCAAGUCCCUUGUGAAAUCGGGCGGCUUAACCGUUCGGCUUGCAAGGGAUACUGCCAGUCUUGAGGCCGGGAGACGUCAAGGGUACUCUGAGGGUAGCGGUGAAAUGCUCUAAUCCUCGGGGGACCACCAGUGGCGAAGGCGCUUGACGAGAACGGACCUGACGGUGAGGGGCGAAGGCUAGGGGAGCGAACGGGAUUAGAUACCCCGGUAGUCC